CCCCGGCGAACGAUAGUUACCUGGUUAAUUCUGCCAGUAGUCAUAUGCUUGUCUCAAAGAUUAAGCCAUGCAUGUCUAAGUAAUCAUCGACCGAUCCUGAUGUUCUCGGAUGGAUUUGAGUAAGAGCAUACGGGGCCGGACCCGAAAGAAGGUGAACUAUGCCUGUAUAGGGUGAAGCCAGAGGAAACUCUGGUGGAGGCUCGCAGCGGUUCUGACGUGCAAAUCGAUCGUCAAAUAUGGGCAUGGGGGCGAAAGACUAAUCGAACCUUCCAUAGGCUCUUGG
rnacentral:ncRNA from 1 species